rnacentral:rRNA from 1 species
UUUCUGGUGAUUCGAGCGCCCUGGCACCACCUGAUCCCUUUCCGAACUCAGAAGUGAAACGGGGCAGCGGCGACGAUAGUUGUGGGGCAACCUACCGCGAAAAUAGCUCAUCGCCAGAACA